rnacentral:rRNA from 1 species
GACGAACGCUGGCGGCGUGCCUAAUACAUGCAAGUCGAACGAGAGCGACCGGUGCUCGCACUGGUCAAUCUAGUGGCGAACGGGUGAGUAACACGUGGGUAACCUGCCCAUCAGAGGGGGAUAACAUUCGGAAACGGAUGCUAAAACCGCAUAGGUCUUCGAACCGCAUGGUUUGAAGAGGAAAAGAGGCGCAAGCUUCUGCUGAUGGAUGGACCCGCGGUGCAUUAGCUAGUUGGUGAGGUAACGGCUCACCAAGGCCGUGAUGCAUAGCCGACCUGAGAGGGUGAUCGGCCACAUUGGGACUGAGACACGGCCCAAACUCCUACGGGAGGCAGCAGUAGGGAAUCUUCCGCAAUGGACGCAAGUCUGACGGAGCAACGCCGCGUGAGUGAAGAAGGUUUUCGGAUCGUAAAACUCUGUUGUUAGAGAAGAAUAAGUGCUAGAGUAACUGUUAGCGCCUUGACGGUAUCUAACCAGAAAGCCACGGCUAACUACGUG